rnacentral:tRNA from 1 species
GGGCGUGUCGUAUAAUGGUAGUACGUUGGUCUCCAAAACCAACUGCGUAGGUUCGAUUCCUGCCACGCCUG